rnacentral:rRNA from 1 species
GAUGGACGCUGGCGGCGUGCCUAAUACAUGCAAGUCGAGCGAACAGACGAGGAGCUUGCUCCUCUGACGUUAGCGGCGGACGUGUGAGUAACACGUGGAUAACCUACCUAUAAUACUUGUAUAACUUCGGGAAACCGUAGCUAAUACCGGAUAAUAUAUUGAACCGCAUGGUUCAAUAGUGUAAGACGGUUUUGCUUUCACUUAUAGAUGUAUCCGCGCCGCAUUAGCUAGUUGGUAAGGUAACGGCUUACCAAGGCAACGAUGCGUAUCCGACCUGAGAGGGUGAUCGGCCAAACUGGAACUGAGACAAGGAACAGAGUACUACGGGAGGCAGCAGUAGGGAAUAUUCCGCAAUGGGCGAAAGCAUGACGGAGCAACGCCGCGUGAGUGAUGAAGGUCUUCGGAUCGUAAAACUCUGUUAUUAGGGAAGAACAAAUGUGUAAGUAACUAUGCACGUCUUGACGGUAACUAAUCAGAAAGCCACGGCUAACUACGUG